AUCUUUACUAUCAUUUCCUCGAUAAAAUUGAAACGAUACAUACAAGAUUAGCAUGGCCCUGCACAAGAUAUGACAUACAUAAAUCGAGAAAUGAUAUCAAUUUUA